CUAAACCUAUUUAUAAAGGCGGCAUUUCAUCUUAUUAGAGGAACCUAUAUUUUUAAUCGACACCCCACGUUAAAUUUUACUUAGAUUUAAAAUUUAUAUAUCGCCAUCUAAAAAACUAAUCCAAUGAUAAUAUUUUUAAUAAAUAAUAAAAAUAAAAAGUUAGGUCAAGGUGUAAUCCACAUUUAAGUAAAUAAUGGGUUACAUUAAAAAAAAAUUUAAGGACUUUUUUAUAAAAAUAUUACUCAAAAAAGGAUUUAAAAGUAAUUUAAUAAUAAUAUUAUAAUAUG
rnacentral:rRNA from 1 species